rnacentral:rRNA from 1 species
CGGGGUGCAGCAGGCGCGAAAACUUUACACUGCGGGAAACCGCGAUAAGGGGACCCCGAGUGCCAGCACCCAGUGCUGGCUGUCCAGUUGUCCAAAUAACAACUGUUAGCAAGAGCCGGGCAAGACCGGUGCCAGCCGCCGCGGUAACACCGGCGGCCCGAGUGGUAGCCGCUAUUAUUGGGUUUAAAGGGUCCGUAGCCGGCUUAUUAAGUCUUUUGGGAAAUCUGGCGGCUCAAUCGUCAGGCGUCCAAAAGAUACUGGUAGGCUUGGGACCGGGAGAGGUGGGAGGUACUCCAGGGGUAGGGGUGAAAUCUCGUAAUCCUUGGGGGACCACCGAUGGCGAAGGCAUCCCACCAGAACGGGUCCGACGGUGAGGGACGAAAGCUGGGGGCACGAACCGGAUUAGAUACCCGGGUAGUCCCAGCUGUAAACGAUGCUCGCUAGGUGUCAGGUGCGGUGCGACCGCAUCUGGUGCCGCAGUGAAAACUUGAAGCGAGUCACCUGGGAAGUACGGUCGCAAGGCUGAAACUUAAAGGAAUUGGCGGGGGAGCACAA